rnacentral:snoRNA from 1 species
GGCAGCCCUGUCAAAUUCGCCGCCAUCCGCUGUGGCUGGUGCUGACCCAGCCGACUGCCAUGCAAAUACCUGCAGCUUGUGAGCCCCACAUUGUGGGGUCACAGGAUGGUUUGGGUUGGAAGGGACCU